rnacentral:snRNA from 1 species
GAAUGUUAUACCAUGGUUUGGAUC